rnacentral:rRNA from 1 species
UACGGGGGGAGCAAGCGUUGUCCGGAAUCACUGGGCGUAAAGGGUGCGUAGGCGGAGUGGCAAGUCCGCGGUGAAACCUGACGGCUCAACUGUCAGCCUGCCGUGGAAACUGCCUCUCUUGAGUGCUGCAGAGGAAACUGGAAUUCCUGGUGUAGCGGUGAAAUGCGUAGAUAUCAGGAAGAACACCGGUUGCGAAGGCGAGUUUCUGGGCAUGCACUGACGCUGAGGCACGAAAGCUGGGGGAGCAAACAGGAUUAGAUACCCCCGGUA